GCGGCGCGGCGAAACAAAGAUGGCGCCGACAUCCAGCCUUGUCUGGAUAUAAACGACUUACUGCGCAUGUGCAGGCUUGUCCCCUUGCUAGGGCUCCCUCUAGUGGUUGAACAGCGGUACUGCACAUGUGCGGUUUAUGCACCAGGUGUCAGUUGACCGUUAAUAUGCUAAUGAGGUGAUUCAUUCUCCGCCAAUCCCUGGAGGACAAGUAGUGGGGUGAUCCAAGCCCCACCAAUCCCUGAGAGAUAAUUAGCAUACUGUUGUCUAUAUAAGCCGAGCGAUUUUGCUGCUCGGAGUCCCUGUUCAAGAGAGCUGUAACACUGAGAAGAGCUGUAACACUAAGAAGAGCUGUAACACAGUAAAGGCUUGCUCGCAGAAGAAUCCUGUUGCCGCGCGUCGUUCUUACUGGCGGGACAUUAGGCGCGCGACAAGUGGUGCUGAAACCCGGAAACCAACAUCGUCGGUGCUGAGGGGACCCUUCAGUGUGCUGAAGAGGAUUCAGAACUGCGAGAAGGUAAAUUAAAAGGUAAGCUUCGAGAGGCAUGCCCCUUUUUGGAAGAGAGCAUGUCAGAAACGGAUCAGAGUGAGAAAUUAGGCUUCCGAGAGGCAUGCCCCUUUUUGGAUUUAACAGAGCAUGUCAGAAACGGAGCGGAGUGAGAAAUUAGGAGCGCGCAAAAAAGAAAAAGGUUACUAAAACAAAAGUGAAAGAGAUACAAAAGGCGGAAGAAAUGCCGCUGGAGGAAAAAAUAGGUAUACCCCGGAGGAUGAAGUACAAGUCAUCCGGAGAGGAUACUUUGUAUCCAUUAAAAGAAUUAGAAGCCUUAGAACUGGCUGGCAGUGACUCUGAGCAAGAGUUGUCAGAGUCGGAGGAGGAGGAAUUAGAGGAAGAGGCAGCCAUAUAUGAGGAAGAAAGAUAUGGGCCUAGGUGGAGAGCCACUGUGAAGAAACCUAAAGUUAUGGAUCCUUUGUGGGCAAGGCUGGUAAUUUUGUUUCUUUUUUUUUGUGUGUGUGGGAUAGAGAAGCCACUGACAGCAAUCUUAAGCCCGGACCAAAACCUCUUUGGCAAAUGGUCCCUGCCUGCUUAGAGGAUAAACGAUGUGAGGAAGCCGUUAGAGCUGUUAGGACAGGUCAGAGGGUCCUUGCAGAACAACAAGAAAGUAUGUCAGAGGGAGAAAAGGUCUCAAAAGAAAAAAAGAAAAGAAAAGGAGAUAAAAGGAACAGAGAGAAGGCAAAGAUAAAAAAUUGGGUCAGUACAGCUUUUGUUGUGGCUCAAGUUGAGGCUAUUGCUAGGUAUGUGAUUAGGCUCUGGAAACCUCACAGAGUCAUACUGAUCAGAUUUGAUAGAGGUAGACCACCUGAAAAUUUAUUCAGGAGAAUCAAACAAAAAAAUAAACUUGAGUGUGCCUACUUGGAUUCCUGGUCUCAAGGAGAUUUAGCAAGUGACAAGGUGCUUCUCUUAAAAAAGCAGUUUCAAUCGGCCCUUGGAGCCUUGCACCUGUAGCUAAGAUAUGUGUAGCCACUUCAAUUUUGUUUUCUGAUUGGUUUUAAAUUUAUAAAUAUUCUCUACAUGCCUUGGUUAUGGACUAUUGGCUUUUAAGUUAUUGGAUAUGGUUAAAAAAAUGUAACAUUGGUAACAGAAAGUUGACAUAAAACUGGAAAAUUUGGAUGGAGUCAUUCUAGAUAACAUGUGGCAUGAGCCAAUCUAGGGAAACAGGUCUAAAUUGGGAUGCCUUUGCUACAAUUUUUUACUGAACAUCCAGUGAUUUUUCCAAAGGUCACUGCCUCAGAGCCUUUGUCUGGAGCGUUAAAUAUUUAUACAGAUGGCUCCAAAACAGGUGUAGGUGCCUAUAUGGUUGAUUCUCAAGAACCAGUAUUAAUUCAAUAUAGACCAGGCACCCCCCAAAUUACAGAACGUAAAAUUGUAUUGGAAGUUUUCAAAAGAUUUCAUGAUUUUUUUAAUGACUCUGCUUAUGUAGUUAAUGUGGUGUGCUCACUUGAAAUUGCAGGGCCAAUUCGGUCAACUAGUACUGUAUGUCAAAUUCUUUUAGAAUUACAAAAUUUGAUUUGGGCCAGAAAAAAUAAAAUUUUUAUACAACAUAUUCGAGCCCAUACUAAUUUGCCUGGUCCCAUGACCAGUAAUAACACCCUGGUGGAUGCUAGUACUCAUAGAGAGUUUAUUUUUCAUGCCACUCUGGUUGAUCUCGCUAGAGGAUUUCAUCAAAAGUUUCAUGUACCUGCUUUUACUCUUCAACAAAAAUUUAAAAAUCUCUAGAGCUGCAGCUUGUGAUGUGGUGUUACGUUGCCAAAAUUGUGUUCAAUUUCACCACCCUCCUCAUGUUGGGAUUAACCCUCGUGGUCUGAUCCGGCUAAAACUUUGGCAGAUGGAUGUCACACACAUAUCUCAAUUUGGAAAUUUAAAAUAUGCUCAUGUUUCUGUUGAUACCUGUUCUGGUAUUAUACACGCUACUCUGAUGACUGGUGAAAAAGCUCGUAAUGCCAUUAGUCAUUGCUUAGAGGCAUGGGCAGCCUGGGGAAAGUCUGAUAGUCUCAAGACAGACAACGGGCCUGCCUACACUGCAAAGUCCUUUCAGGCAUUUUGCCAGACAAUGCAGGUCAAACAUACUACAGGAUUGCCAUACAAUCCCCAAGGUCAAGGAAUUGUGGAAAGGGUACAUCGUACCUUAAAAGAGCUUAUACAAAAACAAAAAGAGGGAAUUGCCAGCAGCCGAACACCAAAAGAACAACUUUCUUUAGCUCUUUUUACUCUAAAUUUCUUAAUUUUGGAUGCGCAUGGCCGCUCUGCUGUGGAUCGCCAUGCUGCUACUACACCUAUAACUAAUGCAGAAGUAAAGUGGACGGAUGUCUUAACUGAUGAAUGGUGUGGCCCAGAUCCCGUGAUUUCGAGAUCUAGGGGAGCGAUUUGUGUUUUUCCACAGAAUCAAGAAAAUCCAGGGGCUGGGGAUUUAGCUCAGUGGUAGAGCGCUUACCUAAGAAGCACAAGGCCCUGGGUUCGGUCCCCAGUUCCGAAAAAAAAAGAACCAAAAAAAAAAAAAAAAAAAGAAAAUCCAAUUUGGGUACCUGAGCGUUUGACUCGAAAAUUGCCUUCUGCUCUUCCUGAAGAUGAGACUACAAACCCUACUAUUACUACUGGGAAUGGUAAUACAGGUUAAUUCGCUCACCCUGUGGGCUAUUGCCAGAUCCUGGCCAGUACCCAUGCCAGUUCAUAGCAAUUCUACUGUUUUGAGAAUAAGACUGACAAACAUAAUCUCUGGCCUUGGUUUCUAUGGGUGCUGUCCAAUGAGCAAGGGUCAUAUAUAUCCCUGACCCCCUUUGCUAGGUUGAUGGGAGAGAACUUCGUGCUGUAUAAUGUUUCAGCUACCAGAAAAAGGUGAUACCAGGUUGAUCAAUAUUCAAUAUAAUAACCUCUUGGUAAAUAAUACUGCCACUAGUACUUCAGUAUGUGCUAGAUCACCUUUUUUCUGAUAAGCACUAAUGUAAGCAGUGGUGCUUUAAAUUGUAAUAGCUCUGAUGUAGUCUGCUAUUUAGCUGAAUGCUGGGAUGGCACUAAUGAUACCGCAGUGAUGGUUAAGAUUCGCUCCUUUGUGCCAAUCCCAGUGGAGGCAAACCCAGAUAGCUUUCCUAUUCUUAAUUUGCUGAGAGCCAAAAGAGAUUUUGGAAUUACGGCAGCCAUAAUUUCAGCCAUUGUGCUGUCUGCUGCCACAGCUACCACAGCUGCAAUCGCUAUGACCAAUCAAAUACAGACGGCUGAGACUGUCAAUCAGAUUGUAGAAAGAACUGCAGUGGCACUAGAGAUACAAGAAGAAUUUAAUACCCAUUUGGCAUCUGGCCUUCUAUUAGCCAAUCAAAGGAUAGAUUUAGUUCAAGAACAAAUUGAAGCACUGUAUCAUAUGACACAGCUGUCUUGUGUUUCCUCCCUGAGAGGUUUAUGCAUUAUUCCUUUUUGAGCUAACUUUUCUCAGCAUUUUCAACAGAGCAAAGAAAUCUCGAAUUAUCUGAAAGGAAACUGGUCCAUGAAAGCAGAGCAACUAUCAAGACAAUUGCUGAUGCAGAUUGCUGUCCUCAACAGCACUAGGCUGGACCCCAUCACAGUUGAAGACUUUACCUCAUGGAUUACCAAUGCUUUCUCCCUUUUCAAGGAGUGGGCGGGCAUGUUUGUCCCGGGGAGCUAUUGUCCUUCUGGGAUGCAGAGUAGGUCUCUGGCUUAUUGGCCGUUUAAAAAGAGAACAUGCCAGACACAAAGUGGUUGUUUACCAGGCUAUGACCGCCAUCAAAAAGGGUACUUCUCCCAACAUAUGGCUGGCCUCUUUGAAAGAUCAAGAGUUCGCCCUAGAUCAUUUUUGUCACAGUCAUGUGGAGUCAUUGUAUCCAGGGACGGGCAACUUUCCUCGAACUCGGACCAACCUAAGACACGGGGCCCGGUGGCGAUAGGGUAACUCUAUGAAGGGUAAGGCCGAGUUUGGAUGAGAACGACCUAAGACAGGAGCAAUGACAAGAUUGACGUGACACCCAGAUCUAGACCAGUCAUUUUAUUAAACAAAAAAGGGGGAGAUGUAGAGAGCGGCGCGGCGAAACAAAGAUGGCGCCGACAUCCAGCCUUGUCUGGAUAUAAACGACUUACUGCGCAUGUGCAGGCUUGUCCCCUUGCUAGGGCUCCCUCUAGUGGUUGAACAGCGGUACUGCACAUGUGCGGUUUAUGCACCAGGUGUCAGUUGACCGUUAAUAUGCUAAUGAGGUGAUUCAUUCUCCGCCAAUCCCUGGAGGACAAGUAGUGGGGUGAUCCAAGCCCCACCAAUCCCUGAGAGAUAAUUAGCAUACUGUUGUCUAUAUAAGCCGAGCGAUUUUGCUGCUCGGAGUCCCUGUUCAAGAGAGCUGUAACACUGAGAAGAGCUGUAACACUAAGAAGAGCUGUAACACAGUAAAGGCUUGCUCGCAGAAGAAUCCUGUUGCCGCGCGUCGUUCUUACUGGCGGGACAUUAGGCGCGCGACAAGUGGUGCUGAAACCCGGAAACCAACAUCGUCGGUGCUGAGGGGACCCUUCAGUGUGCUGAAGAGGAUUCAGAACUGCGAGAAGGUAAAUUAAAAGGUUUUCCUGGUGCUGAGCAGGUGAUGCCCACAGAAGGGCACAUGUCUACCCUGUGCAGAAAAUGUUCACAUGGGAGUCCAUAGCAGCCAGAAGAGGACAUUGGGUCUCCUGGAACAAGGGAUACAAGUGGUUGUGAGCUGCCACGUGGACACUGGAAACUAAGGCUGGUCCUCUGAAAGAGCAGCAAGUACUUGUAACGCCUGACUCACCUCUCCAGCCCUCAAAAUAGAUGAUAAAUUCUAUAUUUUAGAGUCGGACCGAAAACAUUAAGAUCUAUAUAAAUAGAGAAUGGAAAGUCUGGACAUUUGUCUAGCUGUCCUAAUUUAAUUUAUAUGUAAAAAUGAAAUAUUGUAAUUUGGCAGUUGGGUGAAAGAAGACAUUUAAGUUCAUGACCCAGCAAUGCCCUGAUCUGAUGAUUGCAUAGUGAGUUUCAUUAUGCCUUUUUAUGGUCUUUUAAAACAUACCACAUAAUGGAAUGUUUUUACACGUUAAUUUUAAAUGACUGAUCGAUUUACUCCAGAACAUUUUUAUGAUAUGCUGCACAACCUAGUAGAUUAAAUUCCUGAUUCUCACUUUAACAUGGCCAGCUGCCAAAGAAUGUACUUGGAGAUGGAAGAAAAAUUGUUUUAGAAAAUGUAUAAUAUUAAAGGGAAAAGGGUGAAAUGUAGGAAAAUGAAAUAGAAUAGUUUACCUAGUAAAACCUAAAAUGGUCAAGACUAAA